rnacentral:rRNA from 1 species
UACAGAGGUGGCAAGCGUUGUUCGGAAUUACUGGGCGUAAAGGGCGCGUAGGCGGCCCGUCAAGUCCCGUGUGAAAGCCCCCGGCUCAACCGGGGAACUGCACGGGAAACUAGCAGGCUUGAGUUCGGGAGAGGGAAGCGGAAUUUCGGGUGUAGCGGUGAAAUGCGCAGAUAUCCGAAGGAACACCAGUGGCGAAGGCGGCUCGCUGGGCCGGUCCUGACACUGAGGCGCGAAGGCGUGGGGAGCGAACGGG